AAACUCCAUCCAAUGGUUCUGAAGCUGGAACAUGAAGUUUGGAGUAACCUGGAUUCAUGUUCCAGGGUCAUGGUCCCUCAUACCUUGCUCCAGAAUAAACUUUCUUAUCCUGGUUAAGGUGUACGACUAUCCUUGGAACGCAGUCAACUAAUCAGAACCCUGUGCCCAGAAAACCGACAUCCGUUCCCCAAGCUAUCAGCUGUGAAUAGCUCCUCAUCUAGGGAUGAGGGCUGAAGCAUUGCGAGUCUCGAGGGUAAGGGGUAUGAUAUGGAAGUCUCAUUUUCGGCUGAGCGCUCUUCAAACACCUGGUGUCUUCAAGUUGAUUGGUUGUAAAUUUCUGCGCUGCCCACCGCCCACUGCCCACUGCCCACCCCCAAAGGAGUCUCUGAUGAGGACUGAGAGCUCCGCUGAUCCAUGGACACAGAGCCGUGCACUUAGAGGGCUGCUUGACACGAUGUCCAUUUGGCAGAACAAUAGUAGUAGCUUCACCCAGGGGCUUAUGAGUGCUCUAGAUAAAAUACAUUUUUUUCACCACCCAAUAAAAUACAUGUUAAUUCACACUAUUUAAGGACUUUUCUGGUUCAGGUUUCCAGGUGUCUUUAAUGAAGCUCAGGUGCAGACUCCUGCUAGUCCGUAAUCACGCUGCAGGUUUGAAGUAAUAUUGUG
rnacentral:lncRNA from 1 species